GAGUGAACGCUGGCGGUAGGCCUAACACAUGCAAGUCGAACGGCAGCACAGUAAGAGCUUGCUCUUACGGGUGGCGAGUGGCGGACGGGUGAGGAAUACAUCGGAAUCUACUUUUUCGUGGGGGAUAACGUAGGGAAACUUACGCUAAUACCGCAUACGACCUACGGGUGAAAGCAGGGGAUCUUCGGCCCUUGCGCGAUUGAAUGAGCCGAUGUCGGAUUAGCUAGUUGGCGGGGUAAAGGCCCACCAAGGCGACGAUCCGUAGCUGGUCUGAGAGGAUGAUCAGCCACACUGGAACUGAGACACGGUCCAGACUCCUACGGGAGGCAGCAGUGGGGAAUAUUGGACAAAGGGCGCAAGCCUGAUCCAGCCAUACCGCGUGGGUGAAGAAGGCCUUCGGGUUGUAAAGCCCUUUUGUUGGGAAAGAAAAGCAGCAGGUUAAUACCCCGCUGUUCUGACGGUACCCAAAGAAUAAGCACCGGCUAACUUCGUG
rnacentral:rRNA from 1 species